UUGAGCGAAGCUUUUUGGUAGUUUACUACUAGAAAUGACUGAGCGGCGAACGGGUGAGUAACGCGUGAGCAAUCUACCUUAGUUACUGGGAUAGCCCGAGGAAACUCGGAUUAAUACCGGAUAUUCUUAUUUUUUCACAUGAAGUUUUAAGGAAAGGUCAGCCGAACUAAGAUGAGCUCGCGUUCUAUCAGCUAGUUGGUGGGGUAAAAGCCUACCAAGGCUACGACGGAUAGCUGGUCUGAGAGGACGAUCAGCCACACUGGGACUGAGACACGGCCCAGACUCCUACGGGAGGCUGCAGCAGGGAAUAUUGUGCAAUGAGCGAAAGCUUGACACAGCGACACCGCGUGUGGGAUGACGGUUCUAGGAUUGUAAACCACUUUCAGGAGGGAAGAAAAUGACGGUACCUCCACAAGAAGACCCGGCCAACUAUGUGCCAGCAGCCGCGGUAAUACAUAGGGGUCAAGCGUUGUCCGAAUUUAUUGGGCGUAAAGAGCUCGUAGGCGGUUCAACAAGUCGGUCGUAAAAGUUUAGGGCUCAACCCUAAAAUGUCGAUCGAUACUGUUGUGACUAGGAUACGGUAGAGGUGAAUGGAAUUCCGAGUGUAGCGGUGAAAUGCGUAGAUAUUCGGAGGAACACCAAUUGCGAAGGCAGUUCACUGGACCGUGAUCGACGCUGAGGAGCGAAAGCUAGGGGAGCAAACAGGAUUAGAUACCCUGGUAGUCCUAGCUGUAAACGAUGGAUACUAGAUGUAGAACUGGAUUGACGGUUUCUGUAUCGUAGCUAACGCGUUAAGUAUCCCGCCUGGGGAGUACGGUCGCAAGACUAAAACUCAAAGGAAUUGACGGGACCCCGCACAAGCGG
rnacentral:rRNA from 1 species